GCCAGUGUGAUGUAGUGGUUUGAAUGUUGGAUUAGGGCUCUGGAGACCAGGGUUCAAUUCCCAGCUUGGCCA